CGAACGCUGGCGGCGUGCUUAACACAUGCAAGUCGAACGAUGAAGCCCUUCGGGGUGGAUUAGUGGCGAACGGGUGAGUAACACGUGGGCAAUCUGCCCUUCACUCUGGGACAAGCCCUGGAAACGGGGUCUAAUACCGGAUAACACCGGCUUCCGCAUGGAAGCUGGUUAAAAGCUCCGGCGGUGAAGGAUGAGCCCGCGGCCUAUCAGCUUGUUGGUGGGGUAAUGGCCUACCAAGGCGACGACGGGUAGCCGGCCUGAGAGGGCGACCGGCCACACUGGGACUGAGACACGGCCCAGACUCCUACGGGAGGCAGCAGUGGGGAAUAUUGCACAAUGGGCGAAAGCCUGAUGCAGCGACGCCGCGUGAGGGAUGACGGCCUUCGGGUUGUAAACCUCUCUUAGCAGGGAA
rnacentral:rRNA from 1 species